UGGCGUUAGAGCUUCAGAUCGUGUCCAGUAAAGCGGUGACACGGAGGCGUUCAGGAGGAGGACAUAUCUCUCCAGGAUCUCAGAGUGAUUUGUGAAACUCUGAAACUUCCAGAUCCAGACAAACACGAGACCAGAGACACAUCCAUUGCCAUAGAGAAGCAGGUCAAUAUUUUACUCAAGCAGCUUCCAGAAACACACAUUGGGAAUCCAGCACUGAAGAGCUCUAUUAAUGCUCAUAAAUGGAGUCGGCAGGAGACGAUAAACUGUGUUUUGUCUGUGGAGUAUGAGUGUCGGUGGCGGAUGUUCAUCAAACAGCUGGAUGUGACUGUUCAAUCCUUCAGUUGGUUUGACAGAGCAAAGGCAUGUAGAGUUCUGUUUCAACAUCACAUUCACUGUGUUCAGGAUGGAAAACUCACUCACUACUUA